GAUGAAGAACGCAGCGAAAUGCGAUACGUAAUGUGAAUUGCAGAUUUCAGUGAAUCAUCGAAUCUUUGAACGCACAUUGCGCCCGCCAGUAUUCUGGCGGGCAUGCCUGUUCGAGCGUCAUUUCAACCAUCAAGCGCCUCGCUUGUGUUGGGGCCCUGCGGCUGCCGCAGACCCCUAAAUCCAGUGGCGGGCUCGUCGUCGUACCGAGUGCAGUAAACAUCCUCGCUCAGGGAACCCGACGGGUGCCGGCCGUGAAACCCCCCCUCCUCAAGGUUGACCUCGGAUCAGGUAGGAAUACCCGCUGAACUUAAGCAUAUCAAUAAGCGGAGGA
rnacentral:misc_RNA from 1 species